rnacentral:rRNA from 1 species
AUUGAACGCUGGCGGCAGGCCUAACACAUGCAAGUCGACCGAGUGGCGGACGGGUGAGUAAUGUCUGGGACACUGCCAGAUGGAGGGGGAUAACUACUGGAAACGGUAGCUAAUACCGCAUAACAUCAGCUGUGCCCAGAUGGGAUGAGUUAGGUGGUGGGGUAAAGGCUAACUUAGGCGAAGAUCCCUAGCUGGUCUGAGAGGAUGACCAGCCACACUGGAAAUGAGACACGGUCCAGACUCCUACGGGAGGGAGAAGUGGGGAAGAGUUCACAAUGGGUGCAAGCCUGAUGCAGCCAUGCCGCGUGUAGGAAGAAGGCCGUCGGGUUGUAAAGUACUUUCAGCGGGGAGGCGUUACCCGCAGAAGAAGCACCGGCUAACUCCGUGCCAGCAGCCGCGGUAAUAC